rnacentral:lncRNA from 1 species
CAGCAAGCGCGAGCUUCCUAUCUGAAGCGGAACUGCUGUUUAGACUAGAGUGUUUUGCAGUCACACAGUAGGUCCUGGGCAGACGCUCACACACCUUUGCACUGUGAUAAGGGGAAUAUUAUUACUCUACUAGUGGCCUGUCCAGAUAAGCUGUUUGGGGCGGGCAGUCUGCAUUUUUUUUCCAAGCUCUCAUUCUGCUGCACCAGUAACUCCAGAUUCCGUUCCCAAGGAAAUAAGCCGCUUUUUAUUUAAAACUGCAAGGAUCGAUGGAGAGUUUAGGUAAAGACCGUGCUUAUUCAGACCCUUCCCUGCCACCCUCUACAGCUUGUGAGGAGCAUGCUGUGCCAGGUGUCACCACCCGCCGCUUGAGAGACCGGGAGAUGCUCCGGAAAAGAAAGGCAGAAGCCCAGGAGAAGGAUUCAAUUCAGUGGGCUAUAGGGGAGCAGGAGAGGAGCAAGCAGCAGAGAAGACGACGAGGAGCCAGGCGAGGACGGGGCCGAAAAACCGUGGUGAAGCCCACACCGAAGCCAGAACCAGAGCUGGACCCUGAGCCCCCGGCGCAGGAGGAGGCUGAGCUGGUGCCCCCCGUGCCAGCGCACCAAGCCCAGCCACCCAUGAUGGCCAUGCAGGAGAUGCUCGGUGGGGUGCAGAUGGGAGCACUGGAGGGAGAGAUGGCAUCUGGGAGCCAGGGUCCUCUGGGUGAAGAGGAAGUGCUGAAACUAGCGGAAGAAAUACCAGAAGAACUGAAUACUCCCCUGGAAAACGACACAGAGGGUAGCGAAUACUUCCCGUCAGUCCUAUUCUAAGUUUCUCUCUCGAGUUUUACGUUUUCAUUUACAAUUUUAUGUCUGAGAGAAACUCCGAUGAGUGUUGUAGAGAGAUGUAGACCCCCUCCUUCCUGGUGAAUAAUAAAGCCCAGAGUCUCCUGGCCA